rnacentral:rRNA from 1 species
GACGAACGCUGGCGGCGCGCUUAACACAUGCAAGUCGAGCGAUGAAAUUUCGACAGAUCGCUUCGGGGUGAAGAUGAAAUGGAUUAGCGGCGGACGGGUGAGUAACACGUGAGUAACCUGCCUUUGACAUUGGGAUAGCCUCGGGAAACUGGGAUUAAUACCAAAUGACACUAACUGAUCACAUGAUCAAUUUGUCAAAGAAAUUCGGUCAAAGAUGGACUCGCGGCUGAUUAGCUAGUUGGUGAGGUAACGGCCCACCAAGGCGACGAUCAGUAGCCGGCCUGAGAGGGUGAUCGGCCACAUUGGAACUGAGACACGGUCCAAACUCCUACGGGAGGCAGCAGUGGGGAAUAUUGCACAAUGGGGGAAACCCUGAUGCAGCGAUGCCGCGUGAGCGAAGAAGGCCUUCGGGUCGUAAAGCUCUUUUAUGAGGGAAGAUAAUGACGGUACCGCAAGAAAAAGCCCCGGCUAACUACGUG